rnacentral:rRNA from 1 species
ACUCAAAUGAAUUGACGGGGACCCGCACAACCUGUGGAGCGUGUGGUUUAAUUCGAUACAAAGCGAAAAACCUUACCAGGGUUUGACAUCAUACCGUUUUAUACUUUUGGAAACAUUAGUAGAUCCGUAAGGAUGGUAUGACAGGUGCUGCAUGGCUGUCAUCAGUUCGUGCCGUGAGGUGUUCCCUUAAGUGGGGAAACGAACGCAACCCCCGUGAAAUGUUAAAUAUUCAUUUCAGACUGCCUUGUUUUUACAAGGAGGAAGGAGGGGAAGAUGUCAAGUCAGCAUGGCCCUUAUACCCUGGGUUACACACACACUACAAUGGCGAAAAACAACGAGUUGCAAGCUGGUAACAGCAAGCUAAUCUCUCAAAUUUCGCCUCAGUUCAGAUUGAGGUCUGCAACCCGACCUCAUGAAGUCGGAAUAGGUAGUAAUCGCGGAUCAGCAUGCCGCGGUGAAUACGUUCUCGGGUCUUGUACACACCGCCCGU